rnacentral:rRNA from 1 species
GAUGAACGCUAGCGGUAGGCAUAACACAUGCAAGUCGAGGGGCAGCAUAAUUGAAGCUUGCUUUGAUUGAUGGCGACCGGCGGAUGGGUGAGUAACGCGUAUGCAACCUGGCUUAUACAGGAGGAUAGACACUGGAAACGGUGCGUAAUACUGCGUAAUGUUAUUGAGAGGCAUCUCUUGAUAAAGAAAGAUUUCGAUUGGUAUAAGAUGGGCGUGCGUAGGAUUAGCUAGAUGGUGAGGUAAUGGCUUACCAUGGCGACGAUCUUUAGGGGUUCUGAGAGGAAGGUCCCCCACAUUGCAACUGAGAACGGUGCAAACUCCUACGGGAGGCAGCAGUGAGGAAUAUUGGUCAAUGGGCGGAAGCCUGAACCAGCCGUACCGCGUGCAGGAAGGCGGCCUUAUAGGUUGUAAACUGCUUUUAUAUUGGGAUAAAGGGCUUGUCGAGGACAAGCAAUUGAAGGUACAGUAUGAAUAAGUAUCGGCUAACUCC